rnacentral:rRNA from 1 species
UACGUAGGGUGCGAGCGUUGUCCGGAAUUAUUUGGGCGUAAAAGGGGCUCGUAGGCGGUCUGUUGCGUCAGGAGUGAAAAACUCGGGGGCUUUAACCCCCGAGCCCUGCUUUCUGAUACGGGGCAGACUAGAGGUAUGCAGGGGAGAAACGGAAUUCCUGGUGUAGCGGUGAAAAUGCGCAGAUAUCAGGAGGAACACCGGUGGCGAAGGCGGUUCUCUGGGCAUUACCUGACGCUGAGGAGCGAAAGUGUGGGGAGCGAACAGG